UUGAGGUUCUUUCCACCCCUCGCCGCCCGCCACUCCCCGGCCCACUCAGGACCCAGUGACCUCAGGGCCACCAACCCCGCAGAUACUUUAGGGCCCCAUCUUUUCUGGCCUUUCAGCUUUCCAGGACACUGACGCUGAUGCCCUCCUUCUAGAAAGUUCUCGGGGGGGUCUUGGCUUCCAGGGCCGCGCUCCCCUCCACCGCCCCUCACGCAGCCCCCACCCUGGUCUCCAGCUGCCUCCGGACCCACAGGGCAGCUGCUCCCAUUUCCUGGGUGCGUCCCACCCCACAGGGACGCCCGGCAGUCGCCCUGAGCCACCACAUUCCGAUCCGCCUUGCGUCUCCCUGGUGGGGUCUGGGCCUCUUGCGCUCUGCCAGCCACCUUCGGACCAUGCGGCCCGGGACUCCCUGCUCGCUGCCCUUCGUCUCCGGGGCCCCUCUCCCUGCUCCCCGUCUGUUUUAGGGGCAUCGGAACCCACCCUACCGGGUCGUCGCCCUGCCCUCCAGCUCCCAGAGCUGAGCCAGCACUGGUCCUGCUGCCCGCACACCUGCGUCCAGCCACCCUCUGAAGCCCCGGGAGGAGGGCACACACACCUGGGGAUGUGCCCCAGACCCCCAUCCGUACCAUUCGCGGAAGCCCUGCCCCCAGAGCCACCUUUCUGUGUCAGUUCAGGGGAUGACCAGAAGGCAAAGGUCAGAGGCAAAGGUCAGGGAGCUGGGUCCUGCCGGCAGAAAGGCCGCCAGCGCAAAGGCAGGGCGCUGGGGUGGGGGGAGGGGCCUCUCCGGCGAGUGCCCAAAGGCCCUUCCCUCCUGUUCCCUGUCCCCUGCCCCACACCCCUCCUCUGGCCUCCCCCACCUCUCCGGGGCCGGUGUGCCCCGUGGCCAGCACAGGUUCGGGUCAGUCUGAAGUUCCCUCCAGCCUUGGUGGUUCCACCAGUGCGUGGGGUGGCCGGGACCCCCUGCAGGAGGCCGUGAGGGUCUGAGCAGCCGGUGGUCCCCACUGGGUGGCCCUUCCUUCUCUGGAACACACCUACCCCAGCACAAUAUAGGAUUUGAGAGAUGUCUGACACGGGGAGGCGGUGCCCAUCGGAUCCUGCUUCAUUCUCGGCCACAACGCCCCCUGGGUCAGGGACCCGGAGCCCCGCCCGGGGCGGGGAGCAGCAGGGCCCCCGCACGCACAGGACCCGCGACCCUCCGGCCGGAAGGGGCAGGGAGAGGGAGAAAGAGGGAAACUUCAGUGUGUGGUUGCCUCUCAUGCUCCCCCCACUGGGGACCUGGCCCCCAACUCAGGCACGUGCCCUGACUGGGAAUCGAACCGACUCGGUUUGCAGGCCAGUGCUCAAUCCACUGAGCCACACCAGGCAGGACAGCAUGGGCUUUCUUGAAGAAAAACACCUAGGGGUGACGUCCUCCCUCCCAGGAGCACACCUGUGCCUUCCCUGUCUCCCACUUUGUCCCCCACGGGCAGUGCCUCCUAAACUCUGAGGGUCCCCACAAGACGUGCGACCAGGGCAGCAGUGGGCAGCCAGUGGCUGCAAAAACCCGAAAGCCCCGUCCUCUGACUUCUCAGUGAGCUGAGGCGGCCCCGCCGGGUCUCUCUCCUGCCUCAUUUCCCUGUCCCUGCUUUAGUAAACAGGCUCUAUUUAAAAAAAAAAAAAAAAAAAAGUCCCCAGCUGACCCGUGAAAUGCUAAUUGGCUUCCCCCUGAGGGUAGAGGGCCAGCAGGUGGGGGCCAUAGAACCGGGACUGAGGGCUGGGGCUGGGUUGUCCCAGGAAGUCACGACGAGGGUGGGGGCGCUCUGCCCGCUGCCCUGCCCAGUGCCCCAGACACCUCCAGUCCCACCAGCCCCACCCUGCGCCCUCUGCCCUGCACUGGUCCCCCGCCAGGCCAACCCCUGCCAAAUUGCCUAACCAGAUGGGGCACUUUCUCCCCUGGGUCCUGGUCCAGGGCAGGUUGCACAAUGGGCCUGGCUGGGGGAGGCACCAGCUCCCCUCCCCCCCAGGCUGCACCUGUGCACAGGUGGGCCGACCACAGGAGCUUUAAGGAGGGACAGACCAGGCAGCCAGUUUCUGGAACCUGCUGCCUUUUUUUCCUGCCAACUUCAGUUGCCCUGAGGACUGUUUGGUGCUAGACUCAGGUGUGUGGUGUUACGGUGACGUGGAGGUUGGCGGGGGCACGGUUUACAGCGCCCGCCCAAUCUCACGACAUCCUGUGCUCCCCGUGUGGGACUUUGCGGCUCUGGGGCCAACCCGUGACAACCCCAUUGUCCUUCUCAAUCCCUUCGCCUUGUCUGUCCAGCCUCCUGCCCCGCCCUGUCCCCUCCCCUCCAGUGAACGUCAGUCUGUUCUCUGUUUCAUUCCUUUAUUUUGUUCUUUAGAUUCUGCAAAUGUAUGAACUCAUGUGCUGUUCAUGUGUAUGAACAAGUGUCCUCUGACAUUUUACUUGGAACUUGCUGCCUUUUCCACUUGCCUGGGGUCUGGGAGAAGCAGCAGCCACCCCUGUGACCAUUGUCACUGCUCCAGGGUCACUCACUGCCUGGGCUGCCCAGCGAGGCCUUCAGCCUGCAUGCUGGCCCCAAAUCCUGGCAGAGUUGGGCGCUCGGGGCCCUUCCCGAAGCCAGGCCCCACCCACAACCCAAGCCCCACACCUGCCCAGGGGGCCUGGGAGUCUGGCUUCAGGCCCUGCAUUUCCAGGCAAUGGCCGCCUCAGAGCUGGCCACACCCUGAUACACAGGACACCCCACUUGUCCACAUGGCACACCAGGUGUGUCCCUCACGGGAGACUGAAUGCAGAGCUAUCUGCCAGCUUUUGGAAAUUCGAGAACAGAGCACGGGGCCACAUCUGAAGGGAGAGAAUGGGAAGGGUGUGGCUGACCCUGCCCAGAAGGGGUGGGGCGGGACUCCAGCGAAACCCACCCUGGGCAGCGCAGGGCGCCCCGGAACCCCGUGACAAGUCACCCAGUGACAGGUCACUGACCACUGCGUUCCUACACAUAACCAGUUACCAUGGUAGCUUAAACUUCAAAAUAUUUAAAUUGAUUUUGAGAGGAAGACCACUGGGCCGUUGCAUUGAUGCUGCGCUCCGUGGGUAACCCCUGCACUCCGACUGGGAGCCGCAGCCUUGGAGUUUCAGGACGAAACUCGACCCUGGAGCCACGGGGGCAGGGCUGCAGCCCCGGCUCCCUGAAGGCCCUUUUCGGGGACCGGGAAGCACUCCACACAGGAGGAGCAUCCGGGACUUGCUCCAGACAAUCCAGUGGGCGGGGAGGGGGCUGCAGGGCACACCCCCCGCUGAGGCCGAGCUGGCUGCUUCUCAGGAGAGCCAGUGGGUUUCCGUCAGUCGUCACAGCUGUGUGACCACUGCAGCCCUCUCGACCCCUCCUUUAUAUGCUCCAGUGAGACCGGGCAGGGGUGACAGGGGUCCCAGUGCUGCAUCUGCCCUGCAGGUCUCCCAGCUGCCACAGCCUCGGGCAGGUCCCACUGUCCCGGGGCGUCAACAGGCUGCAGGGCAGCACCCUGACAAGCCCCCUGCACCUGUCUGAGGGCCUAGAGCCCAGGGCUGACUCAGGGGGCACCUCCCACCACCAGGAAAGGGGCUCCCCAGGCAGGCCCACCAGCCUGGCUAGGGGGUGCUUGCUGAGAAGGGGGACCCUGGGUGGCACACAGCGACCUGGAUCUGGGAACUCAGUGCUUACCAGACCCCUGGACUCUCACACCCGCCCACCUUGCCCUGCAGUGGUUGUGGGCUUCUGCUCCCCCCACAUGCCCAGCCCCACUGCCCACAGGCUGCCAACUGUACUAGCCCAGGGCUGCAUGUCUUCCAUUCUGG